rnacentral:rRNA from 1 species
CACGUAGGGCGCAAGCGUUGUUCGGAAUUACUGGGCGUAAAGGGCUCGUAGGCGGCCAACUAAGUCAGACGUGAAAUCCCUCAGCUUAACUGGGGAACUGCGUCUGAUACUGGAUGGCUUGGAUUCGGGAGAGGAAUGCGGAAUUCCAGGUGUAGCGGUGAAAUGCGUAGAUAUCUGGAGGAACACCGGUGGCGAAGGCGGCGUCCUGGACCAACACUGACACUGAUGAGCGAAAGCCAGGGGAGCAAACGGG